rnacentral:rRNA from 1 species
UACGAAGGGGGCGAGCGUUGUUCGGAUUUACUGGGCGUAAAGGGCGCGCAGGCGGCUUUGUUUGUCAGGCGUGAAAGCCCCGGGCUUAACCUGGGAACUGCGUUUGAUACGGCAGGGCUAGAGUUCGGGAGAGGAGAGUGGAAUUCCCAGUGUAGAGGUGAAAUUCGUAGAUAUUGGGAAGAACACCGGUGGCGAAGGCGGCUCUCUGGACCGAUACUGACGCUGAGGCGGCGAAAGCGUGGGGAGCCAAACAGG